rnacentral:misc_RNA from 1 species
AGUGACGCAGCGUUGGAUCGCAGGUGCAGCAAUCCGGAUAGCGUCGCCGAUCGACGCAAAUGCACCUGACAAAAUUAGCGCUCGCAGCGCAAAAUACGCUAUAUCGGCGCUGGCGCGUCCCGCUUAGACCAAUUCAGGCUUGCGGUGCGCGGAGAGAGGGAAACACAUGGCAGUCGACGGAAACUGGAAUAUCACCUUGNNNGGCGAUCGCGAUGCGACGCUGACGCUGAAAUCCGAUGGCGGCUCGCUGACCGGCAAGCAGGCAGCGGACGGCAACGAAGCCGAUAUCGUUGACGGAACGGUCAACGGCAACGACGUGGCAUGGAAGGCCGCGAUCACCAAUCCGAUGCCUCUGACGCUGGCCUUCACCGGCAAGGUCGACGGCGAUUCCAUCUCCGGCGAUGUCAGCAUCGGCCCGAUGGGCAGCUUCCCGUUCAAGGGAACGCGGGCGUAAGAACGCGCUCCCUCUUCCGU